rnacentral:rRNA from 1 species
AACGUAGGAGGCAAGCGUUAUCCGGAUUUACUGGGCGUAAAGCGCGUGCAGGCGGCUGGGCAAGUUGGAUGUGAAAGCUCCCGGCUCAACUGGGAGAGGUCGUUCAAAACUGCCUAGCUGGAGGCGGGUAGAGGGAGGUGGAAUUCCGGGUGUAGUGGUGAAAUGCGUAGAUAUCCGGAGGAACACCAGUGGCGAAAGCGGCCUUCUGGACCCGACCUGACGCUCAGACGCGAAAGCUAGGGGAGCAAAC